rnacentral:rRNA from 1 species
UACAGAGGGGGCAAGCGUUGUUCAGGAUUACUGGGCGUAAAGGGCGCGUAGGCGGCCUUCUAAGUCGAACGUGAAAUCCCCGGGCUCAACCCGGGAACUGCGUCCGAUACUGGAAGGCUUGAAUCCGGGAGAGGGAUGCGGAAUUCCUGGUGUAGCGGUGAAAUGCGUAGAUAUCAGGAGGAACACCUGUGGUGUAGACAGCUUACUGGACCACUUCUGACGCUGAGACACGAAAGCGUGGGUAGCAAACAGG